UACGUAGGGUGCGAGCGUUGUCCGGAAUUACUGGGCGUAAAGAGCGCGCAGGCGGUCGUACAAGUCGCGUGUGAAAGCCCCCGGCUCAACUGGGGAGGGUCACGCGAUACUGUUCGACUCGAAGGCAGGAGAGGGAAGUGGAAUUCCCGGUGUAGUGGUGAAAUGCGUAGAUAUCGGGAGGAACACCAGUGGCGAAGGCGACUUCCUGGCCUGUUCUUGACGCUGAGGCGCGAAAGCUAGGGUAGCAAACGGG
rnacentral:rRNA from 1 species